UACGAAGGGGGCUAGCGUUGCUCGGAAUUACUGGGCGUAAAGGGAGCGUAGGCGGACAUUUAAGUCAGGGGUGAAAAUCCCAGAGCUCAACUCUGGAACUGCCUUUGAUACUGGGUGUCUUGAGUGUGAUAGAGGUAUGUGGAACUCCGAGUGUAGAGGUGAAAUUCGUAGAUAUUCGGAAGAAACACCAGUGGCGAAGGGCGACAU
rnacentral:rRNA from 1 species